ACGUAGGGUGCCAGCGUUGUUCGGAAUCACUGGGCGUAAAGGGCGUGUAGGCGGAUUGUUAAGUCAGAUGUGAAAUCCCGCAGCUUAACUGCGGAACUGCGUUUGAUACUGGCAAUCUAGAGUAUGGUAGAGGGUGACAGAAUUCCUAGUGUAGUAGUGAAAUACGUAGAGAUUAGGAGGAAUACCGGAGGCGAAGGCGGUCACCUGGGCCAAUACUGACGCUAAGGCGCGAAAGCGUGGGGAGCAAACAG
rnacentral:rRNA from 1 species